rnacentral:sRNA from 1 species
GUCGUUGCCAAAUCAGCGACCGGGUGUAGGAACCCGUCAUCAAGAAGCGUACAAGCGCCCAAGUUGUGCGGGCGCUUUUU